GACGAACGCUGGCGGCGUGCCUAAUACAUGCAAGUCGAACGCUGACGAGAGGAGCUUGCUCUUCUUGGUUGAGUUGCGAACGGGUGAGUAACGCGUAGUUAACCUGCCUUGUAGCGGGGGAUAACUAUUGGAAACGAUAGCUAAUACCGCAUAACAAUUGAUGACACAUUUCAUUUAUUUGAAAGGGGCAAUUGCUCCACUACAAGAUGGACCUGCGUUGUAUUAGCUAGUAGGUGAGGUAAUGGCUCACCUAGGCGACGAUACAUAGCCGACCUGAGAGGGUGAGAGGCCAAACUGGGACUGAGACACGGCCCAGACGCCUACGGGAGGCAGCAGUAGGGAAUCUUCGGCAAUGGGGGCAACCCUGACCGAGCAACGCCGAGUGAGUGAAGAAGGUUGUCGGAUCGUAAAGCUCGGUUGUAAGUCAAGAACGGGUGUGAGAGUGGAAAGUUCACACUGUGACGGUAGCUGACCAGAAAGGGACGGCUAACUACGUG
rnacentral:rRNA from 1 species